UCAAGCAGAAGACGGCAUACGAGAUAAGGCCACGUGACUGGAGUUCAGACGUGUGCUCUUCCGAUCUUGCGAUAAGCUUCGGGGAGUUGCACGUAAACUUUGAUCCGAAGAUUUCCGAAUGAGGAAACUCACUUAGAGUAAUGUCUAAGUAUCGUAUGAUGAAUACAUAGUCAUGCGAGGGGAACCCGGAGAACUGAAACAUCUAAGUACCCGGAGGAAGAGAAAGAAAUUCGAUUCCGUAAGUAGCGGCGAGCGAACGCGGAACAGGCCAAACCAGUGAAGUUUUCUUCGCUGGGGUUGCGGACAUAUCAUAACGAAGAGGUAUCGUAGAAGAAGAGAGUUGGAAAGCUCCGCCAUAGAUGGUAACAGCCCAGUAUUUUAAACGAGAAGACUUUAGAUAUGAUCCAGAGUACCACGGGACACGUGAAACCCUGUGGGAAGCAGGAGGGACCAUCCUCCAAGCCUAAAUACUACCUAGUGACCGAUAGCGUAUAGUACCGUGAGGGAAAGGUGAAAAGAACCCCGGGAGGGGAGUGAAAGAGAACCUGAAACCCUGCACUUACAAGCUGUAGGAGCACAUUAUUUGUGUGACUGCGUACUUUUUGUAGAACGGGCCAACGAGUUACGUUGUGUAGCAAGGUUAAGCACUUAAGGUGUGGAGCCGUAGCGAAAGCGAGUCUUAAAUGGGCGUCCAGUUACCCGACGUAGACCCGAAACCAGGCGACCUAUCCAUGAGCAGGUUGAAGCGAAAGUAAAAUUUCGUGGAGGACCGAACCCACGUACGUUGAAAAGUGCGGGGAUGACUUGUGGAUAGCGGUGAAAUUCCAAUCGAGCCUGGAGAUAGCUGGUUCUCCCCGAAAUAGCUUUAGGGCUAGCCUCAAGCUUAGAGAAACGGAGGUAGAGCACUGAAUGUCCUAGGGGGUAUUGCACUUACCGAAGACUAUCAAACUCCGAAUGCCGUAUUCUUUUGCUUGGGAGUCAGACUAUGGGUGAUAAGAUUCAUAGUCAAGAGGGCAACAGCCCAGAUCGUCAGCUAAGGUCCCUAAAUGUAAGUUAAGUGGUAAAGGAUGUGGAAUUGCACAGACAACCAGGAUGUUGGCUUAGAAGCAGCCACUCAUUUAAAGAGUGCGUAAUAGCUCACUGGUCGAGUGAUUCUGCGCCGAAAAUUUCCGGGGCUAAAACUUACUACCGAAGCUACGGCAUCAUUAUGAUGGGUAGGGGAGCUUUCUAUGCGGCUUGAAGCAUGACCGUAAGGACAUGUGGACUGCAUAGAAGUGAGAAUGUUGGCAUGAGUAGCGAGAUGUGGGUGAGAAUCCCACAGGCCGUAAACCCAAGGUUUCCAGGGGAAGGUUCGUCCGCCCUGGGUUAGUCAGGACCUAAGCCGAGGCCGAAAGGCGUAGGUGAUGGACAACAGGUUGAUAUUCCUGUACCACCAAUAACCGUUUGAGAAAUGGGAUGACACAGUAGGAUAAGCUAACCGCACUGUUGGUUAUGUGCGGGCAAGUAUUGAGGCAGUUCCGAUAGGCAAAUCCGUCGGAAUAAUGCUGGGGUACGAUGCGGAGCGAAAUUUAGUAGCGAAGUAGCUGAUUUCACACUGUCGAGAAAAGUCUCUAUCGAGGUUAAAGGUGCCUGUACCGCAAACCGACACAGGUGGGUGAGGAGAGUAUCCUAAGGCCAGCGAGAGAACUGUUGUUAAGGAACUCGGCAAAAUGACCCCGUAACUUAGGGAGAAGGGGUGCCUUCGAAAGAAGGCCGCAGAGAAUAGGCCCAAGCGACUGUUUACCAAAAACAUAGGUUUCUGCUAAGUCGCAAGACGAUGUAUAGGAGCUGACGCCUGCCCGGUGCUGGAAGGUUAAGGGGAUCUGUUAGAGCAAUCGAAGCAGUGAACUUAAGCCCCAGUAAACGGCGGCCGUAACUAUAACGGUCCUAAGGUAGCGAAAUUCCUUGUCGGGUAAGUUCC
rnacentral:rRNA from 1 species